rnacentral:rRNA from 1 species
AUGAACGCUGGCGGCGUGCCUAAUACAUGCAAGUCGAGCGAACAGACGAGGAGCUUGCUCCUCUGACGUUAGCGGCGGACGGGUGAGUAACACGUGGAUAACCUACCUAUAAGACUGGGAUAACUACGGGAAACCGGAGCUAAUACCGGAUAAUAUAUUGAACCGCAUGGUUCAAUAGUGAAAGACGGUUUUGCUGUCACUUAUAGAUGGAUCCGCGCCGCAUUAGCUAGUUGGUAAGGUAACGGCUUACCAAGGCAACGAUGCGUAGCCGACCUGAGAGGGUGAUCGGCCACACUGGAACUGAGACACGGUCCAGACUCCUACGGGAGGCAGCAGUAGGGAAUCUUCCGCAAUGGGCGAAAGCCUGACGGAGCAACGCCGCGUGAGUGAUGAAGGUCUUCGGAUCGUAAAACUCUGUUAUUAGGGAAGAACAAAUGUGUAAGUAACUAUGCACGUCUUGACGGUACCUAAUCAGAAAGCCACGGCUAACUACGUG